CCGCAACCCAAUCCUGUGACAGCAGCCUGUGAGCGCCUCGCGGCCCCACCCAACGCCUCCCAUGUGACGCAGGUGGUGGUUGCUGGUUUCCACGGCAACCUGCGUCCCCGCCCGUAUGACCGCGGGCCGGGCCUGCGAAGCUUAGCUUGACCUGGAAAAAGAGGCUCAGUACCCCAUCCCAGAAUAUGAAGAAGUUUGGAUGCAGAUGGUUAUUCAGGCCUAAUUCUGUAACAGGUUGGACUGGCAUCCAGAUAUCCAGGAAUUUUUGUUUUUUUAUCUGGUUCCAGAUUCAUAUUUGCAACAGUAGUGUUUUGGAGCCUGUAGUAGCAGUAGCAACCAUCCCUGGAGCCAGGUCCUUGUUGACUGCCACAGGGGCCACAAC